rnacentral:rRNA from 1 species
AUUGAACGCUGGCGGCAGGCCUAACACAUGCAAGUCGAGCGAGCGGCGGACGGGUGAGUAAUGUAUGGGGACUGCCCGAUAGAGGGGGAUAACUACUGGAAACGGUGGCUAAUACCGCAUACUAUCGGAUAACCCAUAUGGGUUUAGCUCGUAGGUGGGGUAAAGGCUCACCUAGGCGACGCUCUAUAGCUGGUCUGAGAGGGUGAUCAGCCACACUGGGACUGAGACAAGGCCCAGACUCCUACGGAGGCAGCAGUGGGGAAUAUUGCACAAUGGGCGCAAGCCUGAUGCAGCCAUGCCGCGUGUAUGAAGAAGGCCUUAGGGUUGUAAAGUACUUUCAGCGGGGAGGCGUUAACCGAAGAAGAAGCACCGGCUAACUCCGUGCCAGCAGGCGCGGUAAUUC